UGAUUUCUUCCUUGACUGAAUCACUCUUGGAGUAUAGGAAAGCUAUUGAUUUAUGGGUGUUGAUCUUAUGUCCUACUUUGCUAAAUUCAUUUCUAAGCUCUAGAAAUCUGGUGGAGUAAUUGGGUGCAUCAACAUGUAUAGGAACACAAUUGAUUUAUGGGUGGUUAAUUUUAUAUCCUGCUACUUUACUGAAUUCUUUGAGUUUACUAUGGUUUUAUCUUCUUGUUGGACUGUUCCCUUUGCUAAGAUGUAAUGUCCUCCUUUGUCUCUUUUAUUUAUUUAUUUGUUCAUUCAUUCAUUUUAGUUAUACAUGUCUGUAUAACUAGACUGUAUUUUGACACAUCAUAAUACAUGAAGUAUAACUUCCCAUUCUUCUGGUUGUACCUGAUGUAAAGUUACACUGGUCAUGUAAUUAUAUAUGUGCAUAGGGUAAUAAUGUCCAAUUCAUUCUACCUACCCCCAUACCCCUCUCCUCCCUUCACUCCCCUCUAUCUAAUCGAGUACCUCUAUUCUUCCCUAGUUCACCCUCUUAUUUUCAGUUAGCAUCUGCAUAUAAAAGAGAAAUUCAGCUUUUGAUUCUUUGGGAUUGGCUUAUUUCACUUAGCAUGAGAGUCUCCAGGGCAAUAAUUUCAUUCUUCUUUAUGGCUGAGUAACAUUCCACUGUGUAUAUAUAACACAUUUUCUUAAUCCAUACAUCUAUGGGGGGGCACCUAAGUUGGUUCCAUAACUUUGCUAUUGUGAAUUGAGCUAUUUGAACAUUGAUGUGACUGUGUCACUAAAUAUGCUGAGCCACAUCCCCAGCCCUAUUUUGUAUUUUAUUUAGUGACAGAGGUCUCACUGAGUUGCUCAGCCCUUGCUUUUGCUGAGCCUGGCUAUGAACUUGUGAUCCUCCUGCUUCAGAGGCCUCCAGAGUCACUGGGAUUACAGGUAUACAGCACUAAACCUGGCCCAUGCCAGUUUUUUUUUUUAAACUAUAGCUCUGUAGUAUAAUUUGAAGUCUGGUAUUGUGAUGCUUCCUGCUUCACUUUUCUCUCUGAGGAUUACUUUGGCUAUUCUGGGAUUCUUAUUUUUCCAAAUGAAUUUCAUGAUUGCUUUUUCUAUUUCUAUGAAGAACAUCAUUAGAACCUUAAUAGGAAUUUGCAUUAAAUCUCUAUAGCACUUUUGGUAGUAUUGCUAUUUUGACAGUAUUAAUUCUCCCUGUCCAAGAACAUGGGAGAUCUUUCCAUCUUCUAAGGUGGUCUUUAAUUUCUUUCUUUAGUGUUCUGUAAUUUUAAUUGUAGGGGUCUUUCACCUCUUUUGUUGGAUUGAUGUCCAAAUAAUUUAUUUUCUUUGAGGCAUUGUGAAUGGGAUAGUUUUCCUAAUUUAUCUUUCAGUGGAUUCAUCACUGAUGUAUAGGAACAUGAUUUAUAGGUGUCAAUUUUAUAUCCUGCUACUACUGAAUUCAUUUAUGUAAGUUUUCUGGUGAAGUUUUUUGGAUCUUUAAAUAUAAGCUCAUGUCAUCAGCAAAUAAGGAUAGUGUGAGUUCUUUUCCUAUUUGUAUC
rnacentral:lncRNA from 1 species